rnacentral:rRNA from 1 species
CCUACGGGAGGCUGCAGUGGGGAAUAUUGGUCAAUGGACGCGAGCCUGAACCAGCAACGCCGCGUGAAGGAAGACUGCUUUCUGGUUGUAAACUUCUUUUAUCAGGGACGAAACACGUGACGGUACCUGAUGACUACACCACGGCUAACUACGUGCCAGCAGCCGCGGUAAUACGUAGGUGGCAAGCGUUAUCCGGAUUUACUGGGUGUAAAGGGAGUGUAGGCGGGAGGGCAAGUCAGAUGUGAAAGCUAUGGGCUCAACCCAGAGCCUGCAUUUGAAACUGGAAUUCUUGAGUGCUGGGGAGGUAAGCGGAAUUCGGGGUGUAGCGGUGAAAUGCGUAGAUAUAAGGAGGAACACCAGUGGCGAAGGCGGAUUGCUGGACAGUAACUGACGCUGAGGCGCGAAAGCGUGGGGAGCAAACAGGAUUAGAUACCCGGGUAGUC